AUUGAACGCUGGCGGCAUGCCUUACACAUGCAAGUCGAACGGUAACAGAUCUUCGGAUGCUGACGAGUGGCGAACGGGUGAGUAAUACAUCGGAACGUGCCCGAUCGUGGGGGAUAACGAAGCGAAAGCUUUGCUAAUACCGCAUACGAUCUACGGAUGAAAGCAGGGGACCGCAAGGCCUUGCGCGAACGAAGCGGCCGAUGGCAGAUUAGGUAGUUGGUGGGAUAAAAGCUUACCAAGCCGACGAUCUGUAGCUGGUCUGAGAGGACGACCAGCCACACUGGGACUGAGACACGGCCCAGACUCCUACGGGAGGCAGCAGUGGGGAAUUUUGGACAAUGGGCGAAAGCCUGAUUCAGCCAUGCCGCGUGCAGGAUGAAGGCCUUCGGGUUGUAAACUGCUUUUGUACGGAACGAAAAGACUCUGGUUAAUACCUGGGGUCCAUGACGGUACCGUAAGAAUAAGCACCGGCUAACUACGUGCCAGCCGCCGCCGUAA
rnacentral:rRNA from 1 species